rnacentral:rRNA from 1 species
CAAUAGCAUAUAUUAAAAUUGUUGCAGUUAAAAAGCUCGUAGUUGAAUUUGUAACGUACGCGAGCUUUCGACUUAAUUGUUGAACUAGCUACGCUGCGUUAUGCUUCUCAUAAUCCGCUCCGGCGUGUUUUGAGAUCGUUUCCUUUGAAUAAAUUUGAGUGCUCCAAGCAGGUAAAUGCUAUGAAAACUACAGCAUGGAAUAAUACGGUAAGAUUUCGGUUUUGUCUUAUUGGUUCAACAACUGAGAUAAUGAUUAACAGGGACAGUUGGGGGCAUUCAUAUUUAGCAGCUAGAGGUGAAAUUCUUAGAUCUGUUGAAGAUGAACUACUGCGAAANCANNNGCCAAGGAUGUUUUCAUNAA